AUCAAACACAGGCCAUGUGGUCCCCCUCCUUCCUCUUUCUGCUCCAUUUCCAGCACCACAGGAUUGAAGCCUCCCAAAUCGCAUGCAGUUUUCAGGCUGGGCGGUGGGUUAUGACGUCAUGAGCCCCUCCGUCUUCCUCCUAUGCCUCCUCACCAUCCUCGUCCUUCCCCACUCUGCCUUUCCCUCUGACUCUCAAGGGUAUUUGUUAAAUUGCGGAGGCUCGGAAAAUGUAACAGUGGGAAGUCUCAAUUACAUAUCUGAUCAGGACUUCAUCCGAGUGGGCAAUAUCACUACUAUAAAGUCAGAAAACUUGGUUCCCGUACUGUCCACAGUACGUUACUUUCCUGACACAAAGGCCAGAAAAUACUGCUAUUCUAUACCCGUCAACGCCCAGGGCAAGUACCUUGUGAGAACCAUAUUCUAUUAUGGAAGUUUUGAUGGAGGGAAGGAGCCUCCUGUGUUUGACCAAAUUGUUGGAGGGACCAAAUGGAGCAUUAUAAACACCACAGAGGACUAUGCCAAAGGCCUUAGUUCCUACUUCGAGGUCGUAGUGAUGGCUUUUGGGAACAGGUUGAGUGUGUGCUUGGCGAGGAAUGAUUGGACCGGUAGUUCCAGCCCUUUCAUUUCAGCAUUGGAGGUGCAGGCCUUGGAUGCUUCUGUGUAUAAUCCCACUAACUUCACCACAUAUGCCCUUGUCACUGUUGCAAGGCAUAAUUUUGGAGAAGGCGAAGAAAUCAUUGGUUAUCCUGAUGACAAAUUCAACCGGAUGUGGCAACCAUUUUUGGACCAGAACCCUUCUGUCACGAGCCAUUCCAAUGUAACAUCAUCAGAUUUCUGGAAUCUCCCGCCAGUGACAGUAUUCAUAUCUGGAAUUACAACUAGUAGAGGGAAGGUGCUUGAGCUUCAAUGGCCACUUGCGUCCCUUCCGAGGACCAACUACUACAUAGCCCUGUAUUUUCAGGAUAAUAGGUCACCAAGCGCUUACAGCUGGAGGAUAUUUGAUGUUGUUAUUAAUAACCAAACUUUUUUCUCCAAACUCAAUGUCACAGCAAGCGGUCUUACUGUUUAUUCUCCACAGUGGCCUCUCUCUGGUCAAACCAAAAUCACUUUGGCCCCUAGAGAAGGAAGCACCGUUGGACCUGUAAUCAAUGCUGGAGAAAUCUUACAGGUUCUUCCUCUGGGGGGCCAUACUAUUCAUAGAGAUGUGAUCGCAAUGGAAGAAUUGGCUAAAUGUUUUGACAAUCCUCCUCCUGAUUGGAGUGGGGAUCCCUGCCUACCUAAAGAAAAUUCAUGGACUGGAGUUCAAUGUUCUCAAGAGUUUAUUUGCCAGGUCAUCUCAGUGAACUUGACGGAGGUUGGGCUGUCUGGGUCACUUUCUCCAAGCAUUGGCCAUUUAACUGGUCUCAUAUACCUUUGGCUACCUGGAAACAACCUCUCAGGAGAAAUUCCCGACAUGUCUAAGCUGAAGGAGCUACAAACUUUGAAUUUGGAGAAUAACCAGCUUAAUGGGCCAAUUCCAUCGUCACUGGGGAAACUCCCAAAACUGCGUGAAAUAUAUCUCCAAAAAAACAAACUAGAUGGCAAAGUUCCUCCAGAGCUACAAAAUCGGAGUGGCGUGGAAGUAUAACCAAUCACAGCACCUCUUCACGAUCUGUUAGUUCUUUCUUCUUCUGGCUUCACCUAAGCGCACGCCUUCUGGAAAGCUUCUGGAAAUCACCAGUCAGAAUCAGCUUUAAUGUCAUUUGCAAAAUGAUGAUGGAGGAGUACUGGCAAAUUUCCUUGGCAAUUUAGUAUGUGAUUAGGGAGUCUUUUAGGCCUUCAAUACAUACAAAUCGUUUCUGGUUUGGCAUUAAUUGCUGUGCAGGCUCCGUAACGUAAAUCAAAAACUAGGUUCACUAAACACUGUAUCAGCAAAAAGAGCAUAUUACGCCCGGUGAUUCAUUCUGCUUAAUUUACCUGACUGUGAAAAUGAGUAAGAGUUGCUUUGUUUAUUACUUUAUUUUGCCAUACAGUUGUAAGUGCUACUGCAUGUGGUAGUGGGUAUAUGAAAAUUUAAUUAUUCU